UACGGAGGGUGCAAGCGUUAAUCGGAAUUACUGGGCGUAAAGCGUGCGCAGGCGGUUUUGUAAGUCAGAUGUGAAAUCCCCGGGCUUAACCUGGGAACUGCGUUUGAAACUACAAGGCUAGAGUGUGGCAGAGGGGGGUGGAAUUCCACGUGUAGCAGUGAAAUGCGUAGAGAUGUGGAGGAAUACCGAUGGCGAAGGCAGCCCCCUGGGCCAAUACUGACGCUCAUGCACGAAAGCGUGGGGAGCAAACAGG
rnacentral:rRNA from 1 species